rnacentral:rRNA from 1 species
CUUGAACGCUGGCGGCAGGCUUAACACAUGCAAGUCGAGCGAGCGGCGGACGGGUGAGUAAUGUCUGGGAAACUGCCUGAUGGAGGGGGAUCACUACUGGAAACGUUAGCUAAUACCGCAUACCAUCAGAUGUGCCCAGAUGGGAUUAGCUAGUAGGUGGGGUAAUGGCUCACCUAGUCGACGAUCCCUAGCUGGUCUGAGAGGAUGACCGGCCACACUGGAACUGAGAAACGGUCCAGACUACUACGGGAGGCAGGAGGGGGGAAUAUUGCACAAUGGGCGCAAGCCGGAUGCAGCCAUGCCGCGUGUGGGAAGAAGGACUUCGGGUUGUAAAGCACAGUCAGCGAGGAGGCGUUACUCGCAGAAGAAGCACCGGCUAACUCCGUGCCAGCAGCCGCGGUAAUA